rnacentral:rRNA from 1 species
CAGCCGCCGCGGUAAAACCAGCACCUCAAGUGGUCAGGAUGAUUAUUGGGCCUAAAGCAUCCGUAGCCCGUUUUGUAAGUUUUCGGUUAAAUCCAUGCGCUUAACGUAUGGGCUGCCGGGAAUACUGCAUAACUAGGAAGUGGGAGAGGUAGACGGUACUCGGUAGGAAGGGGUAAAAUCCUUUGAUCUAUUGAUGGCCACCUGUGGCGAAGGCGGUCUACCAGAACACGUUCGACGGUGAGGGAUGAAAGCUGGGGGAGCAAACCGGAUUAGAUACCCGGGUAGUCCCAGCUGUAAACUAUGCAAACUCAGUGAUGCAUUGGCUUAUGGCCAAUGCAGUGCUGCAGGGAAGCCGUUAAGUUUGCCGCCUGGGAAGUACGUACGCAAGUAUGAAACUUAAAGGAAUUGGCGGGGGAGCACCA